rfam:Marinobacter salinus strain Hb8 chromosome, complete genome.
UCUGACGACCAUAGCGGCUUGGAACCACCUGAUCCCAUCCCGAACUCAGACGUGAAACAGGCCUGCGCCGAUGGUAGUGUGGCAUUGCCCAUGUGAGAGUAGGUCAUCGUCAGAC